GCCUUCGUAGUGUAGUGGUCAGCACGCUGGGUGCGUAUUCCAGAGGUCCGUGGUUCGAGUCCCGGCGAAGGCG
rnacentral:tRNA from 1 species